rnacentral:rRNA from 1 species
ACGAAGGGUCCUAGCGUUGUUCGGAAUUAUUGGGCUUAAAGCGCAUGUAGGCGGGUAGUUAAGUUUCUUGUGAAAUCCCCCGGCUUAACCGGGGAAAUGCUGGGCAAACUGGCUAUCUUGAGGCAAGUAGGGGUGCAUGGAACUCUAGGUGGAGCGGUGGAAUGCGUAGAUAUCUAGAGGAACGCCGGUGGUGAAAACGGUGCACUGGGCUUGUUCUGACGCUGAGGUGCGAAAGCGUGGGUAGCGAACGG